GAUGAACGCUGACAGAAUGCUUAACACGUGCAAGUCAACUUGAAUUUGGGUUUUUUAACUUCGAUUUGGGUGGCGGACGAGUGAGUAACGCGUAAAGAACUUGCCUCACAGCUAGGGACAACAUUUGGAAACGAAUGCUAAUACCUGAUAUUAUGAUUAUAAGGCAUCUUAGAAUUAUGAAAGCUAUAUGCGCUGUGAGAGAGCUUUGCGUCCCAUUAGCUAGUUGGAGAGGUAACGGCUCACCAAGGCGAUGAUGGGUAGCCGGCCUGAGAGGGUGAACGGCCACAAGGGGACUGAGACACGGCCCUUACUCCUACGGGAGGCAGCAGUGGGGAAUAUUGGACAAUGGACCAAGAGUCUGAUCCAGCAAUUCUGUGUGCACGAUGACGUUUUUCGGAAUGCAAAGUGCUUUCAGUUGGGAAGAAAAAAAUGACGGUACCAAGAGAAGAAGUGACGGCUAAAUACGUG
rnacentral:rRNA from 1 species